rnacentral:rRNA from 1 species
UGGAUGGGCCCGCGUUAGAUUAGUUUGUUGGUGAGGUAAUGGCUCACCAAGGCUACGAUCUAUAGCUGGUCUGAGAGGAUGAUCAGCCACACUGGGACUGAGACACGGCCCAGACUCCUACGGGAGGCAGCAGUGGGGAAUAUUGGACAAUGGGGGCAACCCUGAUCCAGCGAUGCCGCGUGAGUGAUGAAGGCCUUAGGGUUGUAAAGCUCUUUCGUCAGGGAAGAUAAUGACGGUACCUGAAGAAUAAGAUCCGGCUAACUCCGUGCCAGCAGCCGCGGUAAUACGGAGGGAUCUAGCGUUAUUCGGAAUUACUGGGCGUAAAGCGAGCGUAGGCUGAUUUGUAAGUUGGAUGUGAAAUCCCAGAGCUUAACUCUGGAACUGCAUCCAAAACUACAUUUCUUGAGUUUGGUAGAGGAGAGUGGAAUUCCUAGUGUAGAGGUGAAAUUCGUAGAUAUUAGGAGGAACACCAGUGGCGAAGGCGACUCUCUGGGCCAAUACUGACGCUAAGGUUCGAAAGCGUGGGUAGCGAACAGGAUUAGAUACCCUGGUAGUCCACGCAGUAAACGAUGAAUGCUGGAUGUUGGAAACAUUAGUUUUCAGUAUCGCAGCUAACGCAUUAGC